CACACACACACACGCACACACGCGCGCGCGCACACACACACACACACAUAUGUAUAUAUAUAUAUAUAUAUAUAUAUAUAUAUUUAUUUAUUUAUUUAUUUAUAAGAAGAAUGAUAAAUCACUUGUCUUUAUGUUUUGAAUCUUUUGAUAACUCAUGCUACACACUCUUGCCUGUCAUCAUAUAUAUAUAUAUAUAUAUAUAUAUAUAUUUAUAUUUAUAAGAAGAAUGAGAAAUCACUUAUCUUAAUGUUUUGAAUCUUUUGAUAACUCAUGCUACACACUCUUGCCUGACAUUUGUUAUCUUCACACAGGUUGCUUCUGUACUUCUUUGUUGUGCAUUUGUUUAUGACAUCUUCUGGGUCUUCAUAUCACCAGUAAUAUUCAAAGACAGUGUUAUGAUAGCAGUAAGUCUUUAUACAACAUGCUACUUCUUGUUUACAUCUUUGUGUAUGUAUUAUAUUGAAAGUACACUUCAAACUACAUGAAAUAUCUGUUUUGACAUGAUGUGGUGUAGGUGUAUGGAUUGUGUGCUAAAAAUUGGCUAAAUUGCUUAUCAAGUUGAAUAUUUCCUAUGUCAUGAAAUUUGAUACCUGUUAUCCAAUAAAGAUUUUCAUCAAAAUUUUUGACUUUGGUGGAUGUCCAAAUAAAUAUACUGGACAUGUUUUUUUUUUUUUCUGAUAGAUAAACACAAAUAUAUUAAAGGGCAUGAGGCCACAAAGCAUACAGGGAGUAUACAAAGCAGCCUAAAACAAAAACGCAAAAAACAAGCAACCUCACCCAUCCUUAAGUGGCCGCUAGCCACUCCAAAAAGCCUAAGAGCGAAGAGGACUCCUCUCCAAUACUGGACAUGUUUUUACUGAAGUUUUUAAUAAAUUCUUGAAAUCCAAUGAAUUUCCUAGCUGAUCUGACAUGAGGGGGAGCUGGGAAAAGAAGUGGAAAAAAAUUUGGAUUUUGGUGGAUGUCCAAAUAAAUAUACUGGCCAUUUUUCACUGAAAGUUCUAACAAAUGCUUGAAAUUCCAAUGAAUUUCCUAGCUGAUCUGACAUGAUGGAAAGUAGGGAAGGGGGAGGAAGGGAGAGUUUGGCCAGAUUACUGGGCCUGUAAGCUUAGUUGGGGAUGUGAGAGAGAGAGAGAGAGAGAGAGAGAGAGAGAGAGAUGAAUUUCCUAGUUGAUAUGACAUGAUGGGAAAGAGGGAAGGAGGAGGAAGGGAGACUUUGGCCUGAUUACUAUGACUGUAAGCUUAGAUGUGAGAGAGAGAGAGAGGGAGGGAGGGAGGAAGAGUCAUGCACAGGUCAAUGAGCCCUAAGGUGUGAAUUUCUGUGCUUUAGAUCCAACCUUGUAACAUGUAUCUAAUGUUUUUUUUUUUUUUUUUUGAUAAAUGAACACAAAAUAUAUUAAAGGGCGAAAAGCCACAAAGCAUACAGGUAGUAUACAUAGCAGCCUAAAAACCAAAAGCACAUAAACAAUCAACCUCACCAACCCUUAAGGAGUUGCUAGCCACUCCAAAAAGCCUAAAAGCGAAGAGGACUCCUCUCCCAUAUACACCCUAGCCCAACUCCACAAAUUACAUACAAAAGAAUGUUUUUAAGCUAACCUUUUAGGAAAGUUGGUAGCUUUACGUAUUAUCAGAGCUAUAGUUAACUAAAGGUCUCAAGUUUGAGUCUCUCCUACUAUUUAUUCCCCCAUCUAUUUAUCUGUAAUCUGUAACUGCUAAUUUGUCUUUCUAUGUGUGGAUAUGACAGCUAAUUUAUCUCCACAUAGGGGUAUGGGACUGCAUGUGUGGCCAGGUGUUAGUUUGGUAUACAUUCUAGCUUAUAUCUUAAAAGCGUAAAUUCUAGACUGUUCCUAUUGCCCCUAUCACAUGUUGUGAAUAUUAGGAAAUGAUAUUUGCAUUAUGAGACAAUCACUUCAAAGGUCUUCGUAGUUUAUAUUAUGGUCAUAUUCUAGAACUUCUUUCUAGUUAGUUGAAACUUUUCCUGUUAGUGGAUUAUUUUGUAUUCCUAGUCCUUGUUCACUAAUUCUAUUAACAUCUGCAUAUUCCGAAUGUCAAAGGAUUAUUUUGUACUCCCAGUUCUUGUUCACUGUGAUUCUAUUAACACCUAUAAAUUCAGAAUGACAACCUAAAUAUUUAGAUUCACCACAAUUAGACAAAUUUCUGGUAUGAGUUCUCUUCUUUUGUGCUGAUAGGUUGCUCGUGGUGACAACAGUGGUGGAGAAUCCAUUCCCAUGCUGUUGAGAGUUCCUCGUUUCUUUGAUCCUUGGGGUGGUUAUGAUAUGAUUGGCUUUGGGGACAUUCUCUUCCCUGGUUUGCUCAUUUCAUUUGCUUUCAGGUACUCUUUACACUGUCAAGUUUCCAGUAAGUGAGAUAACAGUGAAGGUUAUGAUUAUGGAUCCUAUAUUUUCCUUUAAGUUUUUUUAAUAAAAAUCAACAAACUCAUCACUAUGAAUUAGUGAUUACAAUGAACGACAAGAUAUCCUUCGAAAAAGAACAAAAUCUGAUCAAAGAGAAGAAGGCAAGCCUAGAUUGCUGCACCAACCAAAAAAAAAAAAAAAAAAAAAAAGCAGCUCUUUUUCCUUUUCUUCUUCUUCUUUUUUUAUUUUUAUUUUUAUUUUUUAAGUUUUUAAAAAUCAUAUGAGAUUCCUUAUGCUUAGGAUUAUUUUCCUUUUAAUUUUAUAAUUAUUAUGUUUAUAAAUAUUUAUGACUACCAUGUCAAGAUUGUUAUUCUUUACUUAUAUAUGUGUUGUAUUUUGCAACAUGACUUUGCUUUAACUUUCUCCUUCUUGUCAUUAGUUCUCUUAAUUUCAUUUCAAUAAUUGUUGUGAACAACAUUAGAUUAUUCAUUCUUGGUAAGAUAGUUCAGGUUUGGUAUUAAAGCUUUAGAUGGAAGCCUUCAUUUUCUUGAUCAUGCCUCAAUGACAACAACCAAGAGGUCGAUGUCAUCAAGUGUUUGGUGUAGCCAAACUUUUACCUCAACAAUUUUAAAAUGAGUAGAGUUCUUACCAAGACAACUUAAUAUGUUGACCUAAAUGUUGGCUUAUCACAUUGCCAAGCCAAAGUUAUUGACCCAGUGAUUGAUGCUAAUCCCUUGGAAGAGGAUGAUGAUGAUUAUUUUUGACUGAGGUUGAACAAAAAAUUUGGAGUGACGAUAAUGAUGUUAUAUAUGGUGAUAGAAGGAAAUUUUGUAAUGCGGGAAUCUGUCUUUCUGAACAUAAGGAAGAGUUAGAUUAUGGGGCAAAUUGUGAAGGAGAUCCAAUGUGUAUUUACUAUCUUGAGGAGGAUGAUGGCAAUUUCCUUAAUGGUGACAAGUGUGAGUCUUUGGUUAUAUGGAAGAGUUUGUUACUCCAAGGCAUUGGAAUGUAGAGGAUUGACAGAAAACUGUCUCCAUACCAUUUGUACAAUGAACAAAAUUGCAUGCAAGCUAAUCAUUGAUUGUGGAAGUUGUGACAGUGUGGUUUACCAAUUAGUAGAUAAGCUCAAGUUAACGCUUGGGAAGCAUCAUAAGCCAUGUAAAUUAUCAUGGUUAAUUUGUAUUGAUGUUCAAUACAUAAGUGAGGCUUGGUGGGAUGUGAUAAUUAUGGAUGCAUGUCUCAUCUUCUAUUUGGUAGGCACCUAUACUUUUCAUAACUCAUAGUCCUAGAUUUCAACAACAAUCUGCAUAAAACAUCAACCACUAUGGUAAAAGGAAAGGGUGAGAGUAGAUUGCCUCGUCUUAAAUCCUUAAAGGUCUUUAUUGAUCUUUGGAGCUUGUAUUUGCUAGCACUGCAAAACUGAUUGACCAUAAUAAAUAACAACAAAUUCAUAACCUCCAUUUUUGGACUAAAGCAUUACCUUUCUAAUGCAUGGUCCAGAAAACCUUAAUCCAUGUGAUCAGACUUUCAAUAUUUAAUCUGGAAAGGAGUCCCCUUUUCCCUUUGGCUUUUCUCAUCCACAUCCUUAUUUGCCACUAAGACUACAUCCAAUAUCUGUCCACCUUUAAAAUAUUUUGUGCAUAAUUUAUCUAAAAUAUUUUGGUUUAUUUUUCUGUUUGAUUGUCACAGAUUUGACAAAACAAAUAAAAGGGGCAUGACAAAUGGAUAUUUCCUUUGGUUGGCAAUUGGCUAUGGAUGUGGUAGGUAUUUUUACUUGUCAUGUUUCUUCCUGCAUUUUUGUUUUAUUGAUUUCUUUUCAAUCAUAAAAUCAGAGUUGGUUGCUUAUGUGGAAUGCAAUAUAUUCAUUGGGGUUGCUUGCAACGUCUUUUCCUAGCAGAAUGAGAUUGGCGAGUGCCUUUUUCUAGCUUGAUGCUAUCCAUUUUCUAUGCAGUGUGACGUGUUUCAUGUGAAUUGGGAGUGUUUUUAACUUGCAUUCGUAUAUGUGGUUUCCAAACCAUAGGAGAUGGUCAACAUACCUACUAGUACGAAUACAAAGCAUUGAGAUAAAUUACUUGUAACUGGAGCAGAAAAUGUACAAAUUUGGUAUCUUGCUGCAAUAACUUCACUAUUCUUACCUAUCAAAAAAAAUAAAAAAUAAAAAAAUCCUUCACUAUUCUUAUAGAGCGUAUUAAGCAUUAUCACACUAAUGAUGUCCUAAAUUAGUGAUGGUGACAUACUGACUGCACUUUCUUGCUAUGGAUGCCAUCUAGAUACAUGGACAAUAUACCAUCAUAACUGACUUAGACAGUUUGUCUAUAACCAUAUGAUAAAAACUGAACAAAGAAAAAAUGCAAUCUUAGAGACAUUUUUUUUUAAAAUUUAUUAAGUUUUAAAUAUUGAGUUUCAAGUUCAAUUGUUCGAUGGUUUUUUUUUAACGUAAUAGCAUUAAGGAAUGUAUUAUUAGUAUGAGAAGCAUCUGCUUCAUAAAAGCUUGAGAAUCAAAGAGAUUGGUUAGGAGGUGUUAUUGUAUAACAACCGUUUUUUCUAUGGGCUGAGAUAAUCAUGCAUUUUUGUGUGAUAUGAUGAAGUUGAAAUGGACUGACAUUAGUGAUGCCUUAGAGGUCAGGGGUAUUUAGAAAGGAAGCUCAGGAAAUGGUGAGGCUAAGUUGAAUGUGUAUGAUGAUCAGUUUUGCAAGUUGGGCCAUAGGACGGGGAACUUAUUCUGAUAUGUGAGCUUGUCAAGGUAAGGGAAAGAAAGGGUAGAGAAGCAAUCUUAUCACUCCUGUUCUAGGCAUGGAAUAGAUGAAAUUAAUUUUUUAAAAAGGGAUUUUGUUUAAGAAUAAAAUGUUGUUGAACUGUCAAUACCCGAUUCAUCCUUGAAAACCAUAUUGCAUGCUAAAUCUGAUGAGAUAGUAUUAGUUCAGACAGUAUUUUGUGAAUGCAUAAUUAUUUUAAAUAUAUUAACAAUCUCUUUAUUUUUUGGGUGAAACUGCAUCGAGGGGGAGGAUUAAGAUUUAGUGAAGGAUAUUGAGGUUAAAAGAAGAAUGAAAUAGUUAUUGUUAGAAUUUAUUGUUGCUAUGCUAGAGUUUAUUGCCAUAUUAUGGUAAGGGUAUUAUUGCAAUCUCCUCUUUUUUAGCAUUAAUAAUAUAAAUAGGUGGAAAGGUAUAGGAAAGUGUACAAGACCAAGACUAAAACCUAAGGCCUUGUUUGGGAACUAUUUUUAAGAACAGUUUUCUGUUUUCUAGAAUAAAAAAACUGGAAAACACGUUUGGCAAUCAAAAACUGUUUUCUGUUUUAUGAGAGACGGGGUGUUUUUAGAGAACUUUUAGUUGUUUUUAGUUGAUUUUACUUGUUUUUUGAGAGUUGUUUUAAAAAUAAUUAUACAAACAUAUAUAAUGAUUAAAAAUAAAGUUGUGGACAUAAAAAUUAUUUUUAAAACAUAUUUAAAAAUAUUAAAAACAAGUUAAAAGCAUUUUAGGUUCUCAAACAGACUUUUGUUUUACAAAAUAUUAGGGCCUGUUUGGUUGCGGUUUUUGAAAACUGUUUUGGAAAACAGUUUUUGAGAACAGUUUUUAAAAACAGUUUUUAAAAACAAUUUUUGGUGUUUUUAGAAAAAAAAAUUGUGUUUGGGAACUGAAUUUUGGAAAACAGUUUUUGUUCUCAAAAACAAAAAAAACAUGUUUGGUUGAGUUAGUAAAAAAGUUUUUUAGAACAAGUAAAACAAAAAACAUGUUUGAAAGAUGUUUUUUUUUUUCCAAUUAAUAAAGUGUUUUUUUUCAAUUAAUAGUAUAUUCUAUUAAGAUGAGAUGAAAAGUUUUAAAAAGAAUUAAUUUAAUUUUUACAACUAAUUUUUACCUGAUAAGCUUGUAAAUAAAAUAAAUAGGACAUGAAAAUAAAUGCAAGUAAGGUGAAGUUUGAAGAUGGUCACUUUUCAAGGGAUUCUCAAGGCUGAAGAUGAUGUUAUAUUUGUGUUGACCAAUAUAUUUUACCAUCCAAUAUGUUUGACCAAUAGAUUUUCACUUUAUGUAUGAAUUUUUUUUUUUUUUUUACCACCCAUUUUAUCCAUACAAAUGACCCUCAUGUCCCUUAAAAAUAUCUUUGACCAUUCGAAUAUUGAGAAAAGUCUUUACCCAAUAUUACUACCCUCACUCUCUCGUCUCUCAUCUUCUUCAAAACUGAGAAAAAAAUCACCUACAAAAUCCUUUCAAUAAUAAUCAACUCGUUUUCUUUCUCUUCCAUGUCCUUAAGCAAUUUUUUUUUUUUGUUUUUCUUGAACAAAACAACUCAAGAAAAAUCAAAAUUGAGGAAUGGAAAAAAUCAGGUUUUUUUUUUGGUUUUCUUUCUCAUUCCCCACUUUUCUCAGUAUCCAAACAGGAAAAAUAAAAAAACUGACAACACGGAGAACAAUUGUUCUCUUAUGGCUUUUUUUUUUUUUGUUUUGUUUUGUAAAUAGUAAAAAAACAGGCAAAACAACAUUUUUUUUGUUCUCUAAAAAGUGCCAUUUUGAGAACACGGAGAACAAGAAAAACAAAAACAACUUUCUCAACCAAACAAGUUUUUAGUGUUUUUUUGUUUUCAAGAACAGAAAACAGUUCUUGAAAACACUAACCAAACAGGCCCUUAGAGAACAAUUUUCAAAAACUAUUCUUAAAAACUAUUUUUAAGAACUGUUUUAAAAAACAGUUACCAAACACGGCCUAAAUAUCUUCCAUCUGUUUCUUUCUUCUUUUUUUCUCCUUUUAAAACCUAGAAUCACAAUUUUAUAAUUUCAACUUGGUAGAUUAUGCUCACAUCAUAAUGAUAUCAUGCUAAUGUCAUCAUCCCAAUCUAAAAUUUUGCAAGGUUGGAUCUACUAGUUUUUUAGGUAAUUAUGGUAAUGUUUUAGGACUUAUUUUGAAGUUGUUUAAUUGGAUUCUGUGUGUGUAUGAUUUUUAGAAUUUUACUCCUUAUUUUGGAUUUGAAAUUUGGGGUUAUUUUGAUGGAUGUUUUUGGUUCAAAUUGGUCCUACGUGGUAUGCUUGGGCAGAGGAUGAUUAAAAUGCUGGCUGUUUUUUGCUGAUUUUUUCAUUUGCAUUUCAGUGUAUUUUUUUUUGCUUGAGAGGACCCAUGGACUAUUUUUAGACUCUUUGAGGAUGUUUGAUUGUGCUUUCUUGUUUAUUUUUUGAUAGGCACCUAAAAGGAGAUGUAGCAUAGUACACACGAAGUAUACAAAAAAAAAGAAAAGCUUAGUAGCGACUAGGGAAAAGAAUAAAAAGACUCGUUUCCUUAUUUUAAGCUCAACCAAUUUAUGAAAUCUAAUAAUGACAUUGUAUGAUCCUCUAUAUAUACCCUAGCUUAGGUCCCAAAAGUAAACAAAAAAACAGAUUUGAUUGCUUGGUUGGAUUGCCCAACAUUGUUAAAUGCCCUUCUGUUUCUCUCCUUCCUAAGAGUCCACAUCAAACAUAAGGGAGUGAUCCUCCAUAUAUUUUUUUUUUCCUGUUUUUUCCUAACAAAAGAGCCAUGCAAACCCAACAAGUGCUCUCUAAAUGUAGAAUGUAGAAUGCAUAACCCACUCCACUCCGAAAAGAGAGAAAAUUAGAUGCUGCACCAUUCUUGCUUUGGAUCAUUGAAGAAGCUAGUGGUCUAUUGUUUCCUCCGCACCUUUGCACAAGUAACAUCUACUAGGGAAAGUCUAUUCCCUCCUUUUGAACUAGUCAAGAGUAAGGAUUCUACCCGAAGAUGCUUCCUAGGCGAAAAAGCUAACCUUCAAUUGUGCCCAAGCCCAACAUACAAUACUAGCUAGAAAAAGGCACUCUAUGACCCCUAGAUAGGGAAGAAUGGAGAGAUUUAAUUGAAAACUUGCCACAUUUGGAUUUAUUCCACGUUAGUUUGUCCUUUACUUCCCUUUUAAUUACCAUUAAAUGUAAUUUUUGAAAGAAACUCUCCACUUCAGUCAUCUUCCAAUCGUUAAACUGCCUUGAGAAAUGGGGGCUCUAGUCACCCCCUUCCCCUUCCAACUCCCAAGCAUUUGCCACCCAACCCUCUUUGUUGGAGGCCACGAAAAGUAAAUUCGGAAGGACUUCUUCCAAAGUUUGAUCCUUGCACCAUAGGUUUUUCUAUAAUUUAACCCUUCUCCCAUUCCCAAUUAAAAAGUGAGACCUACUUUUUAUCGCCUCCCAUUCAUGUCUAAUGGCUUUCCAUAUCCCCACUCUUAUUCUCGUCUAUGAACUUUCCUGUUACAAUUUGUUUUCAUAAGGGAUUUUGUAGAAAAUUUCCAAUUCCACUUACCAAAAAAAUCUUUAUUAAGGACAUAAAGGUUGCGUAUUUUGAGACCCCAUCCUUAAUUCCCAAGGGCAUUAGAUUCUAGUUAACUAAAUGAGACCUUUUGUCAGCUUCCCUAUUCUACAGCCUAACAUCGAGGCUAAGUCCUCCUCCACAUUAGCUACUCCCUCGAUAGGAAUAGUCUCUCUCUUCUCUAGAAUUACUUUUAGGCUGGAGUUUGCUUUAAACCACAAACGCCCAACUCAAAUAAUUCAACUGAUCUGGAUUGACAUCAUAGAAAAUCAAAAUAUUGUCGGCAAACAAGAGAUGAGACACUUCCAACAACUCCCCAUCCUUUCUACCCACCUUAAAACCUGUGAUGAAGCCCUUGCUCUUGGCCUUAGUAAACAUUUGACUGAGAGCUUCCAUAGCCAAAAUGAACAAGUAAGGAAAGAGGAUCCCCCUGCCUCAACCCCCUAUAAUUCUGGAAGAAAUUGGAUAGAGUGCCGUUAAUGAGAAUGGAGAAGGUUGCUGUGGAAAUACGUCAUUUUAUGCACCUUUGCCCAAACCCCAUUUUAGACAUGAUUGCCAAUAAGUAAUCCCAAUUAAUAUAGUCAUAAGCCUUUUCAAUAUUUAUCUUUAGAACAAGAUUAGACAAGUUGCUCUUUAAUCUUGAGUCAAUGGCUUCACUAGCAAUAAGAACUGCAUCCAGAAUUUGCUUGCCUUUUAUGAAAGCAUUUUGAAAAUUUGAAAUCACCUUUCCCACCACUUUCUUAGGCCUAUUUGCUAACACUUUAGCUAGCAGCUUUUACAAUCCCCCUACAAGACUAAUAGGUAUAAAGUCUUUUAAAUCCUCCACCCCACCCUUUUAAGAGUCAACACCAAGAAAGUGGAACUUAAGCUUCUUUGGAAAGUGACAUGAGUGAAAAACUCCCUAAAAAAGCCCAUGGUCUUAGGCUUAACAAGGUCCCAACAAAGCUGCCAAGAAGUCAUGGUAAAAUCAUUUGGACUUGGAGCCUUGUCCCCACAUUGAAAACUUCCUCCUUAGAAAAAAGGCUCCUCUAAGCUCUUGGAACUAAGACUCCCCAACACUUCAAAACAAGUCCCUAAUGCUUGGUCUGCAAUCUCCUGACUUGGAUAGAAGAGCAUGAAAAGCACUGCACACCCUGUCCUUAAUCUCGUCAACCUUUGUCAGAGUAGCACAAUUAACUCUCACUUUGGUCAUCAAAUUUCUUCUACUACGAGCAUUGGCCAUCUUAUUUAUGCACCAUUAACUCCACACCCUGUCCUUAAUCUCCUCAAUCCCCACUUUUGCAAACAUUGUUUUUGCAAGAGAGCAAUGUUUCUGGGGUUUAUGAGUUGAAUGAGAAAAUUUUUGUGGGAUCAGUUAUGGUAGUAUCAGCCUUUUACCAUUGACUUGGAGCAACAGAAGCACCACUAGAAGGAGUUCAUGAUUGCUUCCUCAUCAUCUAGUUUUGGACUUUCUGAUCUUUGUGGUUUUAGGGAUCAUAUUCUUGUUAGCAAAGACUCCACCCAUUGCUGCUAAUGCUUAUUCUUAGCUAUUCAUGUUCUCUUUAGGACUAUGGCUCCUUUGGAUUCUUCUACCCUAAUCUCUAGCAUAGCAAUAAUGAACUAUAAUGGUCACUUUCAUAAAUCAUUUAAUGGAAAGGGCUUGAGAGGCAUGUGGGUGGUUCUUGGGAAAUAGUCCUUCCAAAUGAAUUGUGGCAUAGGGAAUGCCUUGGUAGUGCCAAGUAGUCACAGGCUUGAAGGAGCUUGUUUCCACGUGUAUGUUUGCUUUUCCUUGUUGCUGUAUGACUUGAAGAAUAGAAGCUGAGAAAUACAAAGACUUGAAUUCAGGGCUGUAAAACUUAAUUUGGGAAAUUCAAUUAGGUAAAAAUUAAAGAAACAACAGGAAGAAGUAUGGACUAGAAUCUAGAAUCACUCUAGUAAGAGUUAGGAAUCAUUCCUUGUUUAAGGCCUCAACUUGUAUGAUAUGUACAUCACUCAUGAUAAUCAUAAAAUCAUUUAUCCUCAUUCAUUUGCUUUUCAAAUGCAUACAAGCAUAGUUGUUAAAAACAUAGGAUACACGAUAAGGUACAUUUUUUUAUUUUAUUUUAUGAAAAUUGAUACUUAUGGUAAUUCAUAUCAUAUCUUAAGCUUGUCUUGUGAUGCAUAACAAUACAACAAUAUAUACUCCAACUAUUUUUCAUAAUAUUUAAGAAAAAUCAAAGUUAUUUAUUUAUUUUUUCUCCUAGAAGAAUUAUUGUAUUAAUUAUUUAAAAUAUGCAGUAAGAUUAGAAAUUGAUCAUAAAGAGCAGAGAGAGGUAAGUAAUCCUAAUAUGAAAAGAUACAUUGUUGUCCAAAGUCAUAUUAGGAGUUAAGAAAAUUUAUUCUCACAAUGAAUAUUGGAAGAAUUUUUAUUUGAAUGAUUUGAAUUUUGACAUUGAAAAUGAUGGUAAUUGGUGAAUAAAAACUUUACUUAAUGUAUUAGUUUUGAAAAUAUAAAAAGUUGAACUUUGGAGAUGACAUAUAAAGACAUAUAUAUCAACAACACAUAUAGUACUAUCUUUUAUAAAAUUGGUUAUAUAUUAUUCUAUAUUUCAUGCUUCCCAUAUAUAUGUACAUAUAUGCAUAUUUUUUCUAUUUAAUUUUUCACUACAUAGAAACUUACAACACAUGAUGUGAUACAGAACACAAUACAAAAAAAAUAAAAAAAUGAUACACAAUACAUUUUACGAGUUAACAACUUUGCAUAUUAGUAAGGCCUUUUAUGGAUAGGUAGAAUUGUAUGCUUACAUUGGAAGACUAGAAAACAUUUUACCACACCCAGUUAAUUAGUAAACUCCUAAGACUUAACAAACUGAUAGAUACUUCUUUAUAUUAUCAUAAAUAUGGUAACUCCUAUAUAAACAGUCCAAAAACUCAUCAAUAUCAUGAUGUAAAAUAAAACUUAUUGAAGAACUCACUAAACUCUGUAUAAUGCCAGUAUCCCCUUGUUCCCACUAGGUUAAAGUUUUGGUCUGCAAAUUAUCAUUACUUUAUUGACUGCUUAUACAUCUUGAUCAUGGCACUGUUGCUGUCAGCUCUCCAGCUAGGUAGAACUUUACUUUGGUCAGUGAAGGGCUUAAGGCUAGCUAAAGCAUAUAAAGAAUAGGAUUAUUGAAAUAACUUUUUGUUUUUUUGCUUCAGCUUGUUUAUAGCUGAUGCCAAAACCAUAAUUUUAAAGAGGUAAAUUUGAUGUUACAGAAGUUUCAAGAAAUAUGAAAUAUUUUUUCUGCAUAAGACAAAAAUGAGCUUCCAUGUCAAAAACUCUUAAUAAAAUUUCCAAAACAAGUACAAAAGUUCUAAUUGAGCUUAAAAAGUUUUUUUCCUGUUCAUAAGUCAAUCCAAACUAUGCCUAGGUAUGAAAAGUGGUUUCCUAAUAAGUUAAGGGAAUCCAUUGUAUAGUGGUUUAUGGGUCCAUCAGGAAGGGUGUUAAGGAGUUUGUCUAAGGUAUUGGCUUUGUUAAGGGAAACAUACAUAGACUGUGGGCUUAGUUUUGUUUUAUGACCUAGUAGGUUAGGCUUUUUGUUCUUCAAUUUGGGUGUUACUGUAAAAUUGAAAAUUGUAGUUCUAGUUAAUACUGUAGCCUUUUAAAUUUUAAGUGAAUGAAAAUGAAAAGUUUAUUUGUACUGUUUGAAAUUUUAGUGUUGAGUUUGAUUAAACUAUUUGACAUAUUAAGUCUGAAAAUUGAUUGAUUUACAAUUUUUUUUCUUAUGCUUUCAGUUAUUUAGUAAUAGUGAUUUACAAAAUUUUAUUAGUGCAAUAAAUUUUUGUCUUUGUGUGUGGUGUUAUAUAUAUGUAUUCCCAUUGUAAGUGGUUUUAGCAGCUCCCAUUAUAAAUUUAUGGAAAGGAGUCAAGACAGAAAUUGUAGCUAAAGGGGUUCCUGUAAAAUUGAAAAUUGUAGUACUAGUUACUACUGUAGCCUUUCAAAUUUUAAAUAUAUGAAAAUGAAAAGUUUAUUUGUAUUGUUUGAAAUUUUAGUGUUGAGUUUGAUUGAACUAUUUGACAUAUUAAGUCUGAAUUGAUUGAUUUACAAUUUUUUUUCUUAUGCUUUCGGUUAUUUAGUAAUAGUGAUUUACAAAAUUUUAGAAGUGCAAUAAAUUUUUUUAUUUCUUUGUGUGUGGUGUUAUAUAUAUGUAUUCCCAUCGUAAGUGGUUUUAGCAGCUCCCAUUAUAAAUUUAUGGAAAGGAGUCAAGACAGAAAUUGUAGCUAAACUACAUUUAAAAAUCCAUUUUGAGUGUUUGAUGUAUUCAUGUUCUGAUCCAGCUAUAAGACAUUUAUAAUGUAUUGUAAAUGCUGAUUCCAUUGUGAUAUUCAAUUUUUUUUGUUUCUUAUUUUGUCACACUUUAGAGGGACUCUAUUUACUCACUUUCAAUUGCUCAUGUUUAUGCAUCAUGAGAGUUCAAAAUUUCCUUUGUAAGUUAAACUUUAAGGACUAUUUAUCCACUUUCAAUUGAUUCAGGUUUUUGCAUCAUGAGAUUCCUAUUGGGAAAUAUAUCGAUUAACUAGAGAGAACGAAGAUAAAAUAUUGUCGUGUGUAUAGGAAGCAAAUACUCUUGACCAAUAAAAAUAUGAAAAAAGCAAUGGCAGGUAAAACGAAGAAAAUCAUUAUUUACCAGAUCCCAUUCACAUAGCUUUGCUAUGAACAAACUUUUAUUUCCCAUCAACCAUCUGGCCCAGAGAAUGUUUUAUAAUUUGAAUCAUUCAGCUGAUGAAGAAAAGUGAUUGACGUAGAGAAAGAAGACAACAAUGUCAUUUUAAAAAUAUAGAACUUCAAAGUUUUAGCAUAUUGUGUUUGAAAUCUUAGGCAUAUCUGAAAUUAAGUUUUACCUUAUUUUUUUAGAUGAUAAACAAUUUGCAUUAUCAAAUUCACUGAAUGAGUGAGUGAAGACCAUUUAAUUUCACUUUAAAGUACUUUAUUUGGUCACCAGAAACACUUAAGUAACUCAUAAUGAGUUCAUUUUAGCUAGCUGCCAUAUGGAGUUUCUUGCUGAUGAUAAUGAAUGAUUCACGGUAUUGCAGGUCUCUUGUUUACCUACCUAGGCUUAUAUCUGAUGAAUGGGCAUGGUCAACCUGCACUCCUCUAUCUUGUUCCAUGUACUCUAGGUAACAACUCAAGUGACAAGUGACAACAAAUAGCAUGAAUUACGUCUUUUAUUUUGCUGAUGGCAUGAAUUUGUAUUAUUAUCAUUUUGAUCUUUUUUUCCUGUUCCAAUUCUGUUAUUCAGGUGUCACUAUUAUUUUGGGUCUGAUGAGGGGUGAGCUAGGUCAUCUAUGGGAACAUGGCACGUCUGUGCCUAUACCCAUAUUGGGAAGACCUGGAGAAGCUUAGAGCAUCUAAUCAGUUUUAAGCUGGAUGCGGGUGAACUACACUGAUGCAGAAGCUGCAGAUGGGAAAGAUAUGGCUUCAUACAUCUUUCCUGAAUCCGGAUCUCAGUCCAACAUUGUGUGAGAAACACAAUUGGUAUAAGUGAUGGACUUCAAAGCCUUUAAAAAAGCAACUCACCCCUGGAAACCAUUUCCAUGUAUAUCAUCUCUUGUAUCUAGUAACUUUUUCCUCAUUGUUUGCUACUGACUUCUUGUUAAUGUUGUAACAUAUUCUGAACUAUUUGUCUUACAAGAUGAAUUCGUUGUUUUCUGGUUUAUCACCCUGAUUUCAGAGCUUGUGCAUUAACUUAUUUGCCUUGUUCGUUUAACCUUGAUAAUAAGAACUUAUUUUUACUCUUAUGGCUCUGUUGAAUUUUCAGAACACGAGCACACCAACUUCAAUUUCAUUCUAGUUUUCUUCGGAUAUAGGUUUUACUCUUUUUUUUUUUCAGUUAGAAUGUUAGCAAGCUGGGCGUUUGAACAGUUUUAGAAAGGGAAAAGUGAUGUUGCAGGAUUAGGCAUGCAGAUGAUAGGAUUAAGACAUUUCUUACUAAUCUGAAGUGAUCUCAAUAUCUUAAUGGGUGCUGACUUCUCUGAUGGUUAACACUUGGAGACUAUCUUAGAUAAUUAAGUUCUGUUGGAUUCUAAUUCAAAAAUAUAACUGGGCUUGUUUUACGAUUUGGGAAAAUAAAUAGUUUUGAUUUACCAGGUCUUGUCUUUGGAUGAUGAGGAUAGAGGAGGCUGUCUCUCACGUCACCUUCUCCUUUUCUUUUUUGCCAUGUAAUAAAAAUGAUUAUAUUUUAAGUUAAAAACUCAUCCUAGUUAUUUUAAAAAAAAUUUAAACCUUAAAAAUGUUAUCCUGAUUAGAUUUUUCAUUUAAGAGAGUUUAGAAAUGGUAUCAAGCAAGUGUUUGGACCACAAAUUGAAAGAUUAAUGUGAUUGUUUUUUCAAGUAUAUUUCAUAAAACCUAAAAUUGGAUUUUUUUUAUUUUUUUUUUAGCAAAAGUAAAAACUAAUAUGUGGCAUGUUUUAGGUGGCCACUUAUUUACCAAAUAAUUACCUAAACAUAACUAAAGAAUAAUAACAUCUUGACUUCCAAUUGUGCGUGACCUAGAGUGCUUAAGAUGCACUUCUUGAGGUGGAGAAGGUGAAAUCCCAAAGCGGUAGUCACCCAUUUUGAAUUUGGCAUGAUUUCAAAUUGGAUUUUGAAAUGGUAAGUUAGGAUUCUUUGGCAUUGUCUGAUAUAAAAAAAGGGGUCAUUUCGAAAUGGAUUUUGAAGUCAUAAGUGGAGGGUUUUCCCUAGCAAUGUGUGAUUUCAAAUUGGUGAGUUGGAUUUUGAAAUCAUACAUUUUGAAUUCGAAAUGCCCCUUUCGUUUUGCCUAGUUGGUUCAAACGACCAUAACUUCUUUAUUUUAGUUUCAAUUCACAUAUUAUUCAAAGUCUUUAACUCAUGACUUCUUGAGAUUCAAAAUGAUAUAUAGCUUGACUAAAAUUGAUCUUAAGAAAUCCUUCAAAAUUUACCUCAAAGUGAAGUAUGUGCAUCUUCUAGACCUUAAACUCCAUUUCCUAAGUUUAACUUCGAGAUUCGGCCUCCAACCUUCUUCUUAUAUUUGCUUGUUCUCCAACUCUCUCCAUAACCUUCAUGAGAAAAUAAAGGCUAUGCUUAAAUGAGAAAAACACCCAAGAGGGGGGUGAAUUGGGUUUUUCAAAAACUUCUUCAACACAACAAAUUCAAGCAUAAUAUAAUAAUAAAAAAAAUAAAGAGAUAGAGUUAGAGAAUUCAAACUUGGAUUUUAUAGUGGUUUGACACUUCUUUGCCUACGUCCACUCUCCUUAAGCUCCUAACCGAGUGAGGGUUCCACUAACUUGAAGUUUCGACCAAGCUUCUAAACUUCUUUACACUUGGAUUCCGACUCCAAUGGGCUCUUACACAAACUCUUCAAGAUUUAAACCUCUUGAAGGCUUUAACACUCAACUUUUACAAGAAUGAAUUCCUCAACCUAGCUCAAAGAUAGCUCAAAUACAAAUAAAAGCUAGGAUGACUCAUAAGAGUGCACUAAAAGAUAUCCAGGUGAUGAUUUAAUGCACUAAGAUAGAAAUGAGAGCUUUUAAGGCAAUAACAAGUGGGUAGACAAUUGAUUGCAAGUGUUCUCUAUGUCAUAAAUGAAGGGAAGCUCUCAAUUUAUAGGUUUUUAAGCUCGGGAGCCAAGAACAGCAAAAAACAGCCUCAACCGGUCGAGUUGGGGGUCGACAGGUUCACUUGCCGUUGGAGCAUUUAAUGCUUUGGUAGGUUACUGUUACCUUGACCGGAGGUUGAUUGGGAAGGAGGGAACCUCAACCGGGAAGGGAAGGCUACUAGAAGAGAGAGAGUGUAUUUGACACUCCUCAACCGGACCUCGACCAGACAAGGGCAAUCGAUCGACCGGUUCCCUGGCCGGUUAAGAUGGUUGGCUUAUGCCUUGACCAGUUUAGCCUUUUUGCCCCGAAAAUCUAUAUUUUUCAAUUUUUUUUCUUUUCUAACACUUAGGCAAAGUCUUUAGGUAAAUUAAUAUGUCAAUUUUGAAACGUUUUGCCUAAGGUACAUUUGAUAAAACUCAGGUUUUAAUGAAAUCGUAAUUUUAAAGAAUAAACCGAGUUUUCAAAGGUGUAUGAAAAGAUAUGAAAACCUAAGUGCAUCCAUGCAUUUAUCUUACAUUUGUUUCCUAUGAUCAAAAGUCUUUCAAAAGUCUCGAUCUUGUAUCCAUUUGGUCAUUUGAUGAAUUUUCAAAAAUAUACCUGAGAUUCUUUACCAUUCAAACCAAUUAGUCACUUAACCAUGGUUUGUUAUCAUUAAAACCUGAUUAGGAGAACUCUUAGGCUAACAAUCUCCCCUUUUUUGAUGAUGACAAACCUUGGUUAUCUAGAAGGAGAUAAAAAAUCUUCCCCUCAAACCAAUCAUGGAUCAAUCAAUCAAAAUUUAUGAAUUUAAAACCAAGAUAAUCAAGACAUGCGAAUUUUCAAUAGGAAACAGUGUAAUAGCAUAUUAUAUAUAUAUAUAUAUAGUAAAGUCAAAUGUACACGAAACAUAAACAUAUAAGCUAAUCUAAACAGAUGAUAUGAUGAUGAUAUGCAUGUAGGUCUCCUAGAUCCUAGAUAUCUCUCCCCUUUUUGGCAACAUAAAAAAGAAGCGAAGAGGGUCUAAAUGAAAUCAAGGUUGAGGAGGUGGAGGUGGAAACACGGAGCGUAGGUAAGCCAUUAUCUUCUCAUGCUGACUCUCCCAGCGACUCUCAAUGCGCUCAAUCCUUUACUGGAGAUGCUCAAAUGCAGCCUGCUGUUGAUCCAUGCAAUCCUCCAUACGCUCAAAUCUCUACUAUAGAUACUCAAACUGAGAGGUGAAGCCAGUAUGAUACUGAUCCAUGCGAUCCUCUAUGGAGUAUGCGAUCCUCUAUGGAGUAGAAUCAAGUAUCGUUGACUACUGUAAGCUCCUCCAUACGAGUGCCAAGAGAGUUGAUCUGAGUAGAUAAAUCCAUCCAAAGAGCAUGAUUAGGAGCGUGAGGUGCCUGAUGAGGUGAUGUCUCUAUGUGAGGAGGCUUGGUGAAGGAUGGUCAAGAAGAUGGUCUCGCUAUGUAAGCCGACUCAAACAUCAUCGACUUAAGGAAUGUGACCUCAAAUUGAACACCCUCGGACUGGAGUGGAGGGAUGUCAAGCUCGGGCUCUUUCUUCUCAAAGCCUCUCUGAGGGUUUAACCCACCCUCCAUCUCUCACAUCUUGGCCUCUUCCUCUACUCCGGGAUGCACCUGUCCCUGUCCCCGGGCCUAUGUUGGUGGUCACUCUGCUUUCUUAACCUAUGAGCCAUUGUGGCCUUCUUAAACUUCAUUCACCCCAAAGACUGUUCAUCAUAUGUAUCAUAAAUAUUAGGGGUCUCGAAAUCUGUCUCUCUACUCAAAUCAAUCCCGACAUAUUUGAAUACUCGAGUGAGGAAGCAACCAUAGGGGUGUACACGGGUCGUACUCUCGCAGCAUGAUAUCAUGUGCAACAUCAUCAGAUAUCCCACAUGAAUUUGUCUCCCCGUCAGAAUGGAGUCCACGAGGAAUGCCUCAAGGUAUGAGAUCUCAUCUCGGUGCCCACCUCGUGGCAGUAGAAUGAAGCAGAUCAUGUGGUGAAGGAUUCGACUGAUCACGGUUAGGCUAUGUGCCGAUGGUUUGCCCAUCCAUUGGGCGUCUGCAAGUCCACACAUCAUCUGAAUGGUCUCUCUAGGCUUGAAACCCAGCACAGUGGGCCAAGCCUUGGACUCAUACACCCUGAGUCCAACUAGAGCAAUGUCGAAAAUGCGGCAGAUGCUCUUCGGGUCCAGUUGGAUCUCAAUACCUCUAACGGUGGAAAUGCUUUGGCCACCGAGUCCAUAUGUAGCCCUCAAAUAGAAUGCACGCACUAGAGUCGGGAAAUUCAACUCCAAAAUCGUAACUACUGGUAGCCAACCCAUUCAACUGAAGAGACCCUCAAAUCCGAAAUGCUACAGUUGGGAGAAAUUGAUAUUUCUCCCUGGAACCAUUUUCCUCUGAGUGAACUUAUGCUUGUACCUUUGAUAAACCUCCAUGGUGCUGAAAAGGGUCGUGUCAGACCUCGCCUUUCAACCAGCCUUCGUCUGAGUAGGCUAAGACGACUCAAUAGGGUGUUUGCCCUGUGCCCUAGAGGCAACUAUCUCUUUCCUUGGAGCCAUCAGAAAGGUAAAGAUGAAUGAGACGAGACUGGUAGAGAGAGAAGCACACACCCAAAACCUUAGGUGCGCAAGAAAAGAGCUUAAAUCGGCUGUGAUGUGGGCUGAAGGAGGAGAAGCUGUCCCAAAACCAAAGCCCUAGGUUCCAAAUCCAAAGCCCUAGCCUUUGAAAAACAAUCUGAAGCCCUCAAUCAGCUGCAAUGGCAUAAAAAAUCCCUUAUUGGCAGUUGAAUUGGCACAUCCCUUGAAGAACCAGAGGAGACGGGUGAAAAAUGAAGCAUGGGAGGGGUAUUUAAAACAAAAACCUCAACGAACUGGUUGACCGAUCUUGAUCCGGUCGACCGCUUGGUCAACGAUCAACGUGUUUGACUUUUUACCUUUUGUGCAUUUUCUCGUCUCGUGAUCCUCCCCUUACCCUUUUCAGUUGAAAUCCCCAAUUUUUGAUGCCUAAUGCCAAGGGAAUUUUGAUUUUUGGUCAAAAUUUGACCAUUUAUCUAAGUAUGUGUUUAUAUGAUGCAUAUGACAUGAAAUUCAUGCAAUUAGAGGGUAUAUUCAUCAAGAAUUCAUUAAGCAAUCAUUAGAUCAUAAAGAAAUCACCCCUAGUUGUCUUCUAAUAUCAACAAAUUGUUCUUCACUUAGAGGUUUUGUAAAUAUAUCGGCAAGUUUAUCUUUUGUGCUUGCAAAUUCAAGUGUAAUGUCACCCUUUUAUGCAUGGUCUCUAAGAAAAUGAUGUAUAAUCUCUAUAUGCUUAGUCUUAGAGUGUUGCACGGGAUUUUUUGAAAUAUUUAUGGCACUAGUGUUAUCACAUUUAAUAGGAACAUGCUCAAAAGACAAAUUAAAAUCACUAAGUGUUUGUUUUAUCCAAAGAAUUUGUGCACAACAUAAACCGACUGCUAUGUAUUUGACUUCUAUUGUUGACAAAGCUAUCGAAUUUUGCUUCUUAUUAUGCCAUGAAACAAGUGAGUGUCCUAGGAAAUGACAAGUGCCAUUAGUUUUUUUUCUUUCAACCCUUCAACCGGAAAAAUCGACAUUCGAGAAUCCAAUUAAUUCAAAGUUAUCAUUCUUAGGAUAUCAUAAGCCUAUGUCCAUUGUCCCUUUCAAAUAUCUAAGAAUUUGUUUUGCGACACUUAAUUGAGAUUCUUUAGAACAAGAUUGAAAUCUAGCAUACAAGCAUACACUAUACAUGAUGUCGGGUCUACUAGCGGUCAAAUAUAGCAAAGAACCUAUCAUGCCUCUAUACAUAGUUGAGUCAAUGGAUUGACCUUUCUCAUCCUUAUCAAGCUUGAUGGAUGAGCUCAUUGGAGUCUUCAUUGUUUUGGCUUUUUCCAUGUUGAACCUUUUGAGAAGAUCUCUUAUAUAUUUUGCUUGAUUGAUGAAGGUUCCUUCCUUUAGUUGCUUGAUUUGAAGUUCAAGAAAGAAGUUAAGUUCUCCCAUCAUGCUCAUUUCAAACUCACUAUGCAUGCACUUAGAAAAUUCUUUACAAAGAGAGACAUUUGUAGCUCCAAAAAUAAUAUCAUCAACAUAUAUUUGAACUAAGAGCAUGUCAUUUUUUUGGUCUUUAUGAAAAGAGUUGUGUCAAUUUUUUCCAUUUUAAAACUCUUUUUCAAAAAAAAUUUACUCAAUCUUUCAUACCAUGCUCUAGGUGCUUGUUUCAAACCAUAAAGUGCCUUUUUAAGUUUAGAAACAUGGUUAGGAAAGUUAAAACUUUGAAAACCGGGUGAUUGUUCAACAUAUACUUCUUCAUUUAUAAAACCAUUUAAGAAAACACUUUUCAUAUCCAUUUGAUAUAAAAUAAAGUAUUUAAAACAUGCAAAGUCAAGUAGCAUCCUAAUGGUUUCCAAUCUAGCUACAGAGGCAAAGGUUUCUUCAUAAUCUAUCCAUUCUUUUUGAUUAAAACCUUGGGCUACCAAUCUUGCUUUAUUUCUAACAAUUAUGUCAUUUUCAUCCAUUUUAUUUCUAAAGACCCAUCUAGUUCCAAUAACACUUUGAUUUGAAGGUCUUGGUACUAAUUCCCAUACUUCACUUCUUUCAAAAUGAUUUAACUCUUCUUGCAUAGCAGUCAUCUAAUUUUCAUCAACUAAAGCGUCAUUUAUAUUUUUAGGUUCAAUUUGAGGGAUAAAAGCAAGAUUAUUGCAAAUAUUUCUAAAAGAUGAUCUAGUUCUUAGCCCACUAGAUGGAUUACAUAUAAUUUGAUAUUGUGGGUGGUUGAUGACAAACUUCCAAUCUUUAGGACGGUCUUGUCUUGAUUCAUCUUGCACUUGUUGAGGAGAGGGUAGUGCCAAUGGUGAUUCUUCUUUCUUGGAAUCUUCUCCAAUUUCUUCUUGUUGCUUUCUAUCUUCAAUUUGCAAUUUUCUUGUGGAUGUCUCCAAGCCUAAAUCAUCAUCAAAACUCUCUCUUUCUUGGAGAGAAUUGUUAGAUUCAUAAAAGAUAACAUGGAUGGACUCCUCUACAACCAUGGUUCUUUUGUUGAAAACUCUAAAGGCUUUACUUGAAGUUGAGUAACCAAGGAAAAUUCCAACAUCUGAUUUUGCAUCAAAUUUUCCAAGAUUGUCUUUGGUGUUUAAUAUAAAAAAUUUGCACCCAAAGACUUUGAAAUAACUAAUGUUGGGUUUCUUGUUUUUCCAAAGCUCAUAGGGAGUUUUCUUAAGAAUGAGCCUCAAUAAUAUUCUAUUUAAAACAUAACAAGAGGUGUUAAUCGCUUCAGCUCAAAAAUAUUUUGGUAAAUUAUUUUCAUUUAACAUGGUUCUAGCUAUUUCUUGAAGAGUUCUAUUUUUCCUUUCAACUACCCCAUUUUGUUGAGGAGUUCUAGGAGUUGAAAAAUUAUGGUUAAUACCAUGCUCAUUGCAAUAUUCUUCAAAAUCAAUAUUUUCAAAUUCUCUCCCAUGAUCACUUCUUAUACAAGUAAUUGUAAAACCUUUUUCAUUUUGAACCUUAUUGCAAAACUUUGAAAACUCAUAAAAGGCUUCAUUAUUUUGAGUUAAAAACAAAACCCAUGUGUAUCUAGAGAAGUCAUCCACAAUAACAUAUGCGUAAGAUUUUCCUCUAAGACUUGGUGUCCUAGAGGGAUCUAUUAAAUCCAUAUGAAACAACUCAAGAGGUCUAGAUGUUAAAAUGAAAAUUUUGUUUUUGAAAGAGUUUUUGAUUUGCUUUCUCAUUUGAGAAGCUUCACAAACUUUGUCUUUUUGAAAAUUUAUUUUGGGAGGGCCUUUAACAAGUUCAUUUUUGUUGAGUUGGGAAAUAAGGUCCAUGUUAGCAUGUCCCAACCUCCUAUGCCACAACCAAUUUUGAUCAUGCAUGCUUGAAAAACAUCUAUCAUGGCCAUCAUAUUUUGAAAUAUUUAUAGUGUAAACAUUAUCACAUCUAUGGCCCAUGAAAAUGGUUUUAUUAUUUUGAAUAUCCUUGAUGAUGCAAUGAGAUGCUUCAAAAAUCACUUUAAAACCUUUGUCACAAAGUUGACUAAUGCUUAAAAGGUUAUGUUUUAAACCAUCCACUAAUAAAACACUUUCAAUAAGAGAGGAUGUGCCAUUACUAAUGUUGCCUUGACUAAUGAUUAUUCCUUUUGCAUUGUCUCCAAAGGUAACAUAUCCUCCCUUUCUCUUUGUAAAGAAAACAAACUUGGAUUCAUCCCCGGUCAUGUGUCUUGAUCAUCCACUAUCCAAGAACUACUUAUCCUUCUUUGAACCCUACAAAAUAAAAUUCAAGUUGAUUUAGGUACCCAUAUCUUUUUGGGUCCUUGAGGGUUAGUGACCUUGGAUUUUUCAAUCCAAACCUUUUUAGCUUUUGCAUUUGAAUUCUUUUGAGAAACAUUUUUUAAGGGACAUGUACUACUAAUGUGCCCUCCUCUUCCACAAAAAUUGCAAGUGGUAGAAGGACUUGCACUUGAGGAUUCUUUAACAAAGUAGUUUUUAAAAUACUUUUGAUUUUUUGAAGAUUUGAAACCUAACCCUUGUUUGUCAAAAACACAUUUUUGGCUAGCUAAAAUCAUUUCAAAAGAUUUUUGUCCACAAGAAAAAAUUAAAAGAGAGGAGGUCAACCAUUCAUUUUUUUUUUUCAAAAUCUCAUUUUCAUUUCUCAAAAUCUCAUUUUCUUUUUUAAAAUGAGUUUUAGAAAUUUCAAUAAUUGAAAAUUUUUCUUUCACUUCUUCAAGUUCUUUUUCAAGUUCUUGAAUUUUCUUUUUAAGAAAAUUAUUUUUCAAACUAAGUUUUUCAAAAUCCUCAUAUAAUUCUUCAAAAACAUCAUGCAUAUCUUCAUCACUAAAGUUAAAGUUUACCUCAUCAAGUUCAUCUAUUGCCAUUAAGCACAUGUUUGCCACUUCUUUCUCCUUUUCUUCUUCGGAAGAUUCUUCACUUUCACUCCAAAUGGCCAUCAUUGCCUUCUUCAUUCUUCUCUUAGGUUCACUUUUGUAGAGAUGACAAUCAUACUUAAUGUGUCUCGAUUUUUUGCAUUUGAAACACACCAAAUCUCUUUUCUCUUCCCAUUUCUCCUUGUGACCAUGAGAUGAAGAUUCCUUUUAAAAAGGUCUCUUUAGAGGUGAACUUUAUUCAUCUAAACCUUUCACCCCUUAUGUAUUUGUUGAGCUUUCUUGUGAUGAGGGCUAAAUCAUCAUUUUCUUCACUUGGUUUUUCUUCUUCAACAUCUUCUUCUUCUUUAGUUGUAGCUUUGAGAGCUAUGCUCUUCUUCUUUUUGUCUUCACCCUCUUGUAGCUUCUUUGCCAAAUUGAUCUCAUAUGUCAUUAAUGACCCUAUGAGCUCCUCCGUAGGUAACUUGGUAAAGUUUUUUGCUUCUUGAAUUGCGGUGACCUUUGUAUGCCACUUUAAUGGGAGUGACCUCAAUAUCUUCAUCACUUUUUCGAAUUCCUUGUAGGUCUUUCCCAAUGCUUCAAGACCAUUGACAAUGUCGGUGAACCUAGUGAUCAUCUCAACAAUGGUCUCAUUUUCUUUCAUAAAAAACAAUUUAUAGAUAUGAACAAGGAAAUUCAUUUUUGAUCCUUUCACUUGAUUUGUUCAUUCAUGAGUUAUUUCAAGCAAUCUCCAAAGUUCUUUAGCUGAUUUACAUUGACAUAUUCUAUUAUGUUCAUUUCUAUCCAUAGCACAUUGAAAAGUAAAAAUGGCCAUAGCAUUUAAUUGAAAAUUUCUUUUAUCAAGCUCAUUCCAUUCUUGCUUGGGUUUUGGAACCAUGACUCCAUCAACUAGUUUUGUAGGAAAAGUUGGGCCAUCUUUAAUAAUGUCCCAUAUGCCUAAAUCAGUUGAUUGUAAAUACUAAGUCAUUUUAGUUUUCCAAUAGGGAUAGUCGGUUCCCAUAAAAAAUGGAGCUUGAUGUUUUGCAAAAAUUUCAUUAUGAGAUGAGCUUGAUGGAAUAGCCAUUUCCUCUUAUACUAUGAGGUCUUAAACAAGAGGUCUAUCUUUGAUAUCAAUUGAGAAAAUAAAGGCUAUGCUUAAAUGAGGAAAACACCAAAGAGGGGUGAAUUGGGUUUUUCAAAAACUUUUUCAACACAACAAAUUCAAGCACAAUAUAAUAAAAAAUAAAGAGAUAGAGUUAGAGAAUUCAAAAUUGGAUUUUAUAGUGGUUCGACACUUCCUUGCCUACAUCCACUCUCCUCAAGCUCCUAACCGAGUGAGGGUUCCACUAACUUGAAGCUUCAACCAAGUUUCUAAACUUCUUUACACUUGAAUUCCGCCUCCAAUGGGCUCUUACACAAACUCUUCAAGAUUCAAACCUCUUGAAGGCUUUAACACUCAACUUUUACAAGAAUGAAUUCCUCAACCUAGCUCAAAGAUAGCUCAAAUGCAAAUCAAAACUAGGAUGACUCACAAUGGUGCACUAAAAGAUAUGCAAGUGAGGAUUUAAUGCACUAAGAAAGAAAUGAGAGCUUUUAAGGCAAUAACAAGUGGGUAGACAAUUGAUUGCAAGUGUUCUGUAUGUCAUAAAUGAAGUGGAGCUCUCAAUUUAUAGGUUUCUAAGCUCGGGAGCUAAGAAUAGGAAAAAACAGCCUCAAUCGGUCGAGCUGGGGGUCGACCGGGAAGAAGGGAACCUCAACUAGGAAGGGAAUACUACUAGAAGAGAGAGAGAGAGAGUGUGUGUUUUUGACACUCCUCGACCGGACAAGGGCAACCGGUCGACCAGUUCCCUGGCCGGUUGAGCCGAUUGGCCUAUGCCUCAACUGGUUAAUUCUUUUUGCCCCGAAAAUCUAUUUUUUUCAAUCUUUUCCUUUCUAACACUUAGGCAAGAUCUUUAGGUAAAUUAAUAUGCCAAUUUUGAAACGUUUUGCCUAAGGUACAUUUGAUAAAACUCGGGUUUUAAUGAAAUCGUAAUUUUAAAGAAUAAAUUGAGUUUUCAAAGAUGCAUGAAAAGAUAUGAAAAACCUAAGUGCACCCAUACAUUCAUCUUACAUUUGUUUCCUAUGAUCAAAAGUCUUCCAAAAGUUUCGAUCUUGUAUCCAUUUGGUCAUUUGAUGAAUUUCCAAAAAUAUACCUGAGAUUCUUUACUAUUCAAACCAAUUAGUCACUUAACCAUGGUUUGUUAUUAUCAAAACCUGAUUAGGAGAACCCUUGGGCUAACACUUCAUUUCUCAUUUUUCAUCUUAUGCAUUUCUCCAUUUGCAUAUGUUACCACUCUCGCCAUACUUAAUAACUCUUGGAACUCCUUGUAUGCACAUUUAGCCAUUUCUCUAACAUGACUGAAAGUGAUUCUUGCAACUUGCAUCAUUUUCACCUCUUAAACCUGAAAUUUAUCUCAAGAUAUAUAUUAGACUCAUGGCUAGGGUCUUAGCAACAAUUUGAGUUAAGUUAGGUGAAUUAAACCUUUAAUUGAAUAAUUCAUCUUUUAUAUGUGCCAUUAGAGCACAAUUUGUGGCUCUAAUCAUCUCCCAUCAGCUUGAAUUUUACUAGUCCUUAACAAAUAAAGAGAACAAAAAACAAAUGAAACAAGGGUAGUGAAUUUCAUGCAAGCAUAGUGACUUAGCCAUUACAUUUCACGCAAAAUACUAAGCAAUCAAAAUUUCUCUCAAUUGAGAGCGGGAGUACAAAAUAGAUAAUUUCGUAGUUUUUCUACUUUACCCUCCUACAUAUAAGCAUGUAUUUAUGUUGAGCAUGCCCUUUAGUGUCCCUUAGACCUCCCUUGAAUCAAUUGUGAACAACUUAUCAUGUUGAAAAGAGCCCAUGACUUAGAUCUUCUAUGUAACUCACAAUAUACUCAUGUCAUAUACAAUGCAAGUGAUAUAGAUGUGAAUGCUCAUAUAAAAAAUAAUGUAAUCAUGGAUAUAGAUGGAUGACCAUAAAUCAUAACAUAUAAAUAUAUAAAUGAAAUCUUAUUCCGUUACAUCAUAUCAUGCUUUAAAGUGCUCUAUCCUAACGUGAUCCCCUUGACUUUGUGGUACUUCAUCCUCGACAUGACUUUAGCAAACCUCUUAAACUAUGCCCUAUGAGAUUGAUUAAGCCCAUAUAGUGUCUUCUUUAGUCUCUACAUAAAAUUAGUGCCGAAAUUCCCAUCAAAUCCUAAUGGAGCCUCCAUGUAGACUAAAAAAGGAAUUUUUAACAUCAAAUUAUUAUAAAGACCAACCAAAGUAAACAACCAAAUAUAAUAAGACUUGAACUAUGUUCAUCUUUUCCAUUGGUACAAAGGCUUCUUAGUUAUCCACUCCAUAAGUCUGGGUAUAACCGUUAACUACGAAUCUAAUUUUGUAUCUUUCUAGAGUCCCAUCAUCUUUGUACUUCACAGUGAACACCCACUUACAUCCAACUAGUCUAUUCCCUUUAGGAAGUUUUACAACCUCCUAUGUUUGAUUUUUCUCAAGUUCUCUCUUUCCUCACUCAUGGUAUUUCUCCAAUUCUCAUCCCUAAUUGUCUCUUAAACAAUUUUUUUUUUGGAUUUCUAAGGGACUUAGGUGACUUUGGAAGCCUUUGUGUGAGGGUGACAAUUUAUUAAAGAAGACAAAGAUGGAAAUAGUGUAUUGGAUGCCUGUUUGGGUGUCUUUUUUAAUGGCAGUAGGCAAAUUUAGAUCAUUAAAGACAAGUUCAUCCACAUGUUUUUCCACGAGUUGGUCACUAUGUGGUGAAAAAGGUGAAUUAAGAGAGGAAAAUGGUUCAACAUCUAUUAUGGGAUCCAAUGAUUGGACUUGUUACUACUCAGACAAGACAACUUCCUUCUUGAAUAGAUAAGUUGGGUGAAAGGGUAGAAAAGAGGUCACAGGUAAGUGAAGAUUUGGUAGAUCUAACAAAAUAAGACUUAUAUUCUAACAAAGUCUUCCUUUGAAUAUAAGUUUUAGGUUAGAAGGGUUAGUUUUCCCCAAAAGUAAAAUAUAUGGAUGUAAAGAAUGUUAUGGAAGAUGGAUGAUUACUUCUAUAUCCUUUCUUUGUUAGGGAGUAGAUAAAGAUACACAUUAGGGCUCUAGGAUCUAGCUUGCUAUAAUUUUGUUACGGAUAUGAACAUAUGAGACACCCAAACAUUUUUAGAAGCGUGUUGGUUGAAAUCGUUGAAGUCAACUAAAAAAUGUGAGAGAAAAACUACUGGGGAUUGAUGAUCUAGAACCUUAGAAGGCAUUUUCUUUAUCAAAUUUGUUGUUGUUAAAACAACUUCCCCUUAGUAGGACUUAGGCGCAUUAUUUUAGAAUAGUAAGCCUCUUAUGACUUCAACCAUACACUUUUUUUUUUUUUUUCUUUUUGCAACCUCAUUUUGUUGUGGGGUAUUAAUGCAAGAAGAUUGAUGAAGAAAAUGUGAAAGGUCAUGAUUAAAUUAUUCCCUCUUACUUUUUGACUUAAUAACUUUUAUUCUCACUCCAAAUUGAUUUUUCAAUCAUUUUGUGACAUAUAAAGCCUUGUUUGGUAACUGUUUUUGAAAAACUAGUUUUUAAGAACAAUUUUUAAAAAUUAUUACCUAAUGUUUUGUAAAAUAAAAGUUUGUUUGAGAAUUUAAAAUUAUUUUUUUACCUGUUUUUAAUAUUUUUAAAUAUGUUUUAAAAAUAAUUUCUAUGUCUAUAGCUUUAUUUUUAAUCAUUAUAUAUGUUUGUAUAAUUAUUCUUUAAAACAGCUCUAAAAAAAUAACUAAAAACAACUAAAAUAAGUUAUCUGAAAACAUCAUGUUUUUUGUUUUCAUAUAAUAGAAAACAGAAAACAGUUUGUGAUUGUUAAACGUAUUUUUCAGUUUUUUUAUUCUAAAAAACAGAAAAUUGUUAUUAAAAAUAAUUUCCAAAUAGGACCUAAGGAAUUCAUUACUCACAUCAAACUUAUUUUUUAGUAGAUAAAGCCAAGUUACCUUAAUACAAUUAUCUAUGAAAGAUACAAAUCAUCUAAAAUUAGAAAUAUUUAGAAUUCUAGAAGGACCCAAUGCAUUGAUAUGAAUUAAUGUGAUGGAUGAAAUGAGUUUUUAUUAUUUACUAGAAACAAGGUUCAGUGGUGUCUAGGCUGUCUAGCCAAAUCAUAGACUUGACAAUGGAAUGCAGUGACAUCUGAGUUUUCAAACAAGGGAGGAAAAAUUUGUUUUAGAAAAAAGAAAGGGUUAUGUCCUAAUUUUCAAUGACACAUUCACAUCAGGUCCUUAUUGGAUGAAAGUUUUUGAGAGAGGUUGGAGAGUGGUAACCUGUCAUUGUUUCCACAACAAGCUACAGGAAUGAAUAUUUAACGAGAUCUAAAUAAUUAUAUUGGAUAAUCUUUUAACUUAAAAAAGAAUAUUCUUAGGAAAUAAUUACCUUUCAAAUAUCAAAUUCACAAUCAUUAUUUAUUGUAACCGUCAUAUUUUAAUGGUCAUUAUAUAUGAAUAUAUGCUUGUAUGGAUGUAUGUUCUAUGACAAAAAAGAAGAAGGAUCAUUUGUCUUCAUCUUCUAUGGGGCCUAGGCCAUGUACAUAUGGCAAUGUUUUAUUUGCAAGAAAUUUAUUUUUUGUGCCAUCUUUUACUAUCCAUGGUUUAAAUUAAUGUAAAGAACAUAUAACAGAAUUUAAAACUGUAACAGUUUAUACUAUUUUUCUUUUUUCUUAAUAUUUUCUAUGAUUUAGACAGAACUUAGAUCAUACACAUGAACAGUAAACAGUUGUGUUUGAAAUUUGAUGACUGAUGGAAUGAGUAGAAUCUUUAGUCAUCACCACAUGUAUUGAAAAAUCUUAUGCCUAGUAUGAAACUUGUAGAUGAUAACUUAAUCCUGACUUAUAAGAUGUGACUGCAUAUAAGUAUACCACUGAUGCAAACAAAACCUUCUUAUACAGUAGUAUUUAUAUGAUCAUUCUUAGGUGCAGAAUUGACUCAAUUAUAUGCAUCAAAAAAUUUAUCCUCAUAAAAAUCAAAGUUCACUCUUUUUCAGGAUUUUAAUUCCUCUUUCCCACUUGCUACUGCAUGUGAUUCAUCUUCAUUGGUAUUUAUAUUCUCAUUCAUCAACAUAGUAUUGCAUAUUAAAAAUACUUAUAUAAUAUUUGUAUUGAAUUACAAAGGAGAUAUAUACUCCAAACCUGCAGCAAAUUGGAGCAUGCAACGGUGGCAUGCAUUCCUAUCAACACUCCAUAAUAUCUAACAACUCCAUUCAAACUCCAAAUGCUCAAGAAGAGCAUUUUGUUAUUAUAUGUUUCACACACACACAUAUAUAUAUAUAUGGUUAAGUAGAACACUUUGCUGUUGCUCCAUGUACACUCUAGCAGUGGGCAGCAUUAGGGAAUUUGCACUUUUUUGGAAGUUGCAAUGCAAGGUUGGGGUCAAUUCCCAUGGAAGGCAGCAGUUUGGAGUUUCGGUAGGAGCAGAGGCAGUGCAUAUCGGCGUGGGAAAGCGCUGAGCAGCACGCGGCCGAAGGUGGAGCAGGGUUUGGAGGAGAAACCGCUGGCUUGCAUGCCAUCAGACCCUCCCCGGACAUGUUGCAUAU
rnacentral:lncRNA from 1 species